AUUGAACGCUGGCGGCAGGCCUAACACAUGCAAGUCGAACGAGUGGCGGACGGGUGAGUAAUGUCUGGGAAACUGCCUGAUGGAGGGGGAUAACUACUGGAAACGGUAGCUAAUAACGCAUACCAUCAGAUGUGCCCAGAUGGGAUUAGUGUGUUGGUGGGGUAACGGCGCACCAAGGCGACAAUCCCUAGCUGGUCUGAGAGGAUGACCAUCCACACUGGAACUGGUACACGGUCCAGACUCCUACGGGAGGCACGAGUGGGGAAUAUUGCACAAUGGGCGGAAGCCUGAUGCCGCCAUGCCGCGUUGAUGAAGAAGGCCUUCGGGUUGUAAAGUACUUUCAGCGGGGAGGCGUUACCCGCAGAAGAAGCACCGGCUAACUCCGUGCCAGCCGCCGCGGUAAUUC
rnacentral:rRNA from 1 species